AGUGAACGCUGGCGGUAGGCCUAACACAUGCAAGUCGAACGGCAGCACAGGAGAGCUUGCUCUCUGGGUGGCGAGUGGCGGACGGGUGAGGAAUACAUCGGAAUCUACUUUUUCGUGGGGGAUAACGUAGGGAAACUUACGCUAAUACCGCAUACGACCUACGGGUGAAAGCAGGGGACCUGCGGGCCUUGCGCGAUUGAAUUAGCCGAUGUCGGAUUAGCUAGUUGGCGGGGUAAAGGCCCACCAAGGCGACGAUCCGUAGCUGGUCUGAGAGGAUGAUCAGCCACACUGGAACUGAGACACGGUCCAGACUCCUACGGGAGGCAGCAGUGGGGAAUAUUGGACAAUGGGCGCAAGCCUGAUCCAGCCAUACCGCGUGGGUGAAGAAGGCCUUCGGGUUGUAAAGCCCUUUUGUUGGGAAAGAAAUCCAGCCGGUUAAUACCUGGUUGGGAUGACGGUACCCAAAGAAUAAGCACCGGCUAACUUCGUGCCAGCCGCCGCCGUAAGAC
rnacentral:rRNA from 1 species